UACGAAGGGUGCUAGCGUUGUUCGGAAUCACUGGGCGUAAAGCGCGCGUAGGCGGCGAACCAAGUCAGAGGUGAAAGCCUGGAGCUCAACUCCAGAACUGCCUUUGAAACUGGUUUGCUAGAGUGUCGGAGGGGAUAGCGGAAUUGCUAAUGUAGAGGUGAAAUUCGUAGAUAUUAGCAGGAACACCGGUGGCGAAGGCGGCUAUCUGGACGACACUGACGCUGAGGCGCGAAAGCGUGGGGAGCAAACAGGG
rnacentral:rRNA from 1 species